GACGAACGCUGGCGGCGUGCAUAAAACAUGCAAGUCGAACGGACUUCAGUCCGCAAGGAUUGAAGUGAGUGGCGAACGGCUGAGUAACACGUAGGUGACCUGCCCCGAAGUUUGGGAGUAACAACUCGAAAGAGUUGCUAAUACCGGAUGUGACCACCGAUUCUAUUUCGGUGCUUAAAGUCGCAAGACGCUUUGGGAGGGGCCUGCGGCGGAUUAGCUAGUUGGUGUGGUAACGGCAUACCAAGGCUUCGAUCCGUAGCUGGUCUGAGAGGAUGGCCAGCCAGACUGGGACUGAGACACGGCCCAGACUCCUACGGGAGGCAGCAGUGGGGAAUAUUGCGCAAUGGGCGAAAGCCUGACGCAGCGACGCCGCGUGGGU
rnacentral:rRNA from 1 species